GAAUUAAAUUUAUUAUUAAUUAAAUUUAGUACUGAAAAUUUUAAAAAAAGAAAUUUAGUUUUUAUUAUAUUUAAGAAAAAAUUAAUUUUAAUAAUAGUGAAUUAUGUAUUGUGAAAGAAUUAUUUUAAAUUUGUAAAAGAAGAAUUAAAUUUUUGUACCUGGGNNNNNNGGGUUUAUUAAAUAAGAAUAAUAAAUAUUAUUUUCUCGAAUUUAAAAGAGUUAGUUAAUUAUGAAUUUUAUUGUAAAAUAAAUAUUUAUAAUAAUUAAUUAGAAAUGAAACGUUAUUCGUUUUUAAAUAUAUCUAGUUUUUAAAGAAAUAAAUUAAAUUUAGUUAUUAAUAUUUAAAUUUUUAAUUAUUUAAUUAUUUAUUAUUAAUAAAAAAUUUUUUUAGGGAUAAGCUUGAAAAAAUAAAUCUAAAAUUUUUUAAUUAAUUAAUAAGUUAUAGGAUUAUAAUUUUCUAAUGAUAAAAAAAUGUUAUAAUUAAUUAUUGAUAAAAUUAAAUUUUUAUUAAAUUUAGAUUUUAUAUUUAAAUGUAAGUUUUAAUUUUAAAAAUUUAGUAAUAAUGAUGAAAUUAGUAUAAAAAAUUGUAAAAUUAAUUUUAAGAUUAAGGUUAAUUUAAGGAAUUCGGCAAAAAAUUUUUCACCUGUUUAUUAAAAACAUGUCCUUUUGAAAAUAAUUUAAGGUCUAAUCUGCCCACUGAGGAAUUAAAUGGCCGCGGUAUUUUGACCGUGCAAAGGUAGCAUAAUCAUUAGUUUUUUAAUUGAAAGCUGGAAUGAAAGAUUGGAUGAGAAAAUAACUGUCUCAAAUUAAUUUAUUUAGAAUUUUAUUUUUAAGUUAAAAAGCUUAAAUAUUUUUAAAAGACGAGAAGACCCUAUAGAGUUUUAUAAUUUAUAAAAUAAAAAAUUAAUUGUUUUUAAGAUUUUUUAUUUUAAUAAUUAUUUUAUUGGGGUGAUAGAAAAAUUAAUUAAACUUUUUUUUUAUUUGAAUACUUUUAAGUAAAUUUUUGAUCCAAAUUUUUUGAUUAUAAGAUAAAAUUACCUU
rnacentral:rRNA from 1 species